rnacentral:misc_RNA from 1 species
AUAUAUAUAUCAACCUCCUCUUUUUGAGGUGUUUGGAUGUGGGGGGUUGUUUGCUGGACUCUUAAAGGGUUCGGCUCCCCUGAAAUGCAUUAGCAGAACAACCUGUUCAUUUGGUGUGAUAACUAUCUACGCUAAUUGAAUGUGAAGGGCGGUUCAGCUUUCUAACUGUCCUUGGACAAAUUUCAUCAUUA